rnacentral:rRNA from 1 species
UACGGGGGGGGCAAGCGUUGUUCGGAAUUACUGGGCGUAAAGGGCUCGUAGGCGGCCAACUAAGUCAGACGUGAAAUCCCUCGGCUUAACCGGGGAACUGCGUCUGAUACUGGAUGGCUUGAGUUCGGGAGAGGGAUGUGGAAUUCCAGGUGUAGCGGUGAAAUGCGUAGAUAUCAAGAGGAACACCAGUGGCGAAGGCGAGUCCCUGGACAAACCCUGACACUGAGGCACGAAAGCCAAGGGAGCAAACAGG